AUGCACAAUUCCUGAAACUGGGAGGAAGGAAGAUUAAGUUACUGACUUUGGUGAACAGCAUGGAAGCUGGAUCAUGGAAGAUUCUAUAGUCGUGAGUACAGGGUCUGGCUAUUGAUGGCAAGGGAUACCUGAGCAGAUGAUGCAUGGAGCCAGGGAUAUAGACAUCUACUGAGAAAACCUGCAGAUGAGGAAUGGAGCUGGUUUAGCAGUCCCCAGGGUUGGAAAUGCCUGUUGAGAUGAGAGGAACCUCAGGAGCAUCUACAACACAGUCCUGCUACCAUGAGCUCUGCUUUUCGGGCCGUGAUGACACUGUUAGGUACGGCAUUAAGUAUCCACAUGUUGCAACAGGAUUCUUCAUGAAGAGCUAUGAGCUUCACACAAGCAGGAAACUCUACCAUCACAGGAAAUUGUAAAUGAAUUUUCACUUGAAGCAAAUUAAAAGACAAUCAUAGAUUUGCAGAAACAUAUGUGCCAGGGAAGGGCUCAUCCAGUGAGGUUCACAGAAUGGGCUCUGUGACACCCAAAGGAAAGACAAUUGUCAUGGCAAGUCCAGUCAUCUGUAUUGACAUGCCCUGAGUGAGUCCCAGACUAAAGAGCUCAAUGCCUGGCAGAAAUACCUAUCUCUAAUUUUGGAUGCCUGUGCUGGACCCAUGGCCACUUCCGCGCUGUUUUUAGAAAGGAGCCCUGAAGCUGCUGACUGAUCAACUAGAGCUGUGGAGCUGAUCUUCAGCCAGUCAAGUGCUUCCAGAGAAUUAUUGAAAAAACAAAACAAGCAAAACCAAGAAAAAAAAUAGACCUGAUGCUUUAAGGCAAGUAUUACUUUCUUUUAUGAUUCAAAAUAAGUUUCUUCUUCCCUGGAUAACACAGAAAACUAUUUCUAUGUGAAAAUUCAGUUUCCCUAAGUCAAAAAUGAAAAAUGUGGGUGGGGCUGGCAAAAUGACCUGAGUUUGCUCCCCAGGACACACAUGGUAGAAAGAGAACACGACUUCUCCAAGUUGUCCCCUGACCUCCAUACACACACUCUGGCGAUUCACCCACAUGCAUGUAUGCAAAAUAAAUCAAUUGUAAUUGAAGUGGUUUUAAAUGUGAAGUAUCCUUUGAACUUGACCCAACUCACCUACUCUUCUAUUAGGUAUAAGACGGCUGCUUCUUCUCCUGCCUGAGUAUUUCAUUUUCUUUCCCUGUGGUACUGAAGAGGGGAGUGAGGUGUAUGUUAGGCAUGUGACCUUCCCCUGAGCUACAACCUCAGCACUUGUAUCUUUUGGUUACGCUGCGCAUCAGGCAUCAGAAGCAUCCUGCCAUCUUGAAUGUGGCCAGCUGUAUAAACUCAAGUGUAUAUGAAGCUAUAUACAUCUGCACUUGGUUGGUAACGACAACCAUAAGGCAGUUCUUCUCUUACUGAUAAAAUGCACAGACUCAGACAGUGAUGUCAAUUAACAGCAUUGUCGAGCUCUGAAUGCUGGGCCUGGCAUUCCAAUCAGUUGAGGGUGAGCUUGCACCUCUCUGCCUUCCCCGUGAGGCUAGUGGACUGGUUAUAGCUCCCUCAGUAAUGUCAAGCAUAACCUCAGAGACAGAAUCUUUCCAGUCUUGCAUAAGCAGCCAUUGUGACCCACAGCACAAAACCCAUUUUCUACUCCCAUGUAAUACCCUGUGUUAGCAUCACAAAAAGGGUCCAGUACUAGGUUAAAAUACCUGUCUGCAAUGCAAAUCAGUACAGGUUCAACACCUGCACUUUUGUAACUAGAUACAGAAUCAAGAGUGUCCUGGAACACAGAGGCAAACGGAAGUGGCUUCCAGUUAACAGACAACUGUUCAAGAGCAGGACACAUGAAUUAUUUAUCUGCGGCUUCCCAGGCUCCCUCUCCAAUAACUUGAAAUAGUUGGCCUGAAUGAAUGCUUGUUCAACUAAACUGAAAUCCCAGAGAGGCAGGCAGAAAGAACAUGAUAUAUGAGACAGUCAUGCAAGAAAACAGGUGAAUGCCAAGUAGACAUGAGCCAACUGACACUUGAUUAAGGACAUUUCCCCAGCUGCAAUGUCUGUGAUAGUCCUUCCUUUUCUUCCAACUACUUUGCCAUAAGGCUGAGCACAUGCCCACCUCAGCCUAAUUUUAGAAUCCUGUCCUGUGGCUAGGAGGGUAUGCAAUGAACAGCAUCAAGGCUAAGUGAGAUCAUAAGCUUCACUGGAAUUUCUCGAGAACACAUCUUCCUUUGUGCAUUGGGCUGUAAUGCUCAAUUUUACAGAGGAGACUUUCUCUGCUAUGGAGACCAAGCAUUCAAUAGGUGAUGUUAAAGCUAAUACAAAUAAAGAAGUGGUUGUGUGUCAAAGAGAGUCAUGAGGUAAGGACAUUUGUGAGUCUGCUUGUCCUUUUACUCAGCCCAGAAAUAUCCCCUUCUUUUCCAUGCUGUAACCUGGCUUGCUGAUAUCUCUGUAGCCCAGAAGAUGCUAAAAUUUGUAGUUCUGUUCCUUGCAUCCAGAAGAGUCUUAAUGCAAUCAACAGUGUAUUAUUAUAGUGGUUUAUCAAGGGAUGUCCUACAAAUGUGUGAGGAGGCCAACCCUGAACGUGUGUGGCACCAGCCCAUGGGCUGAGUCCUGAACUGAAUGGAAAGUGAGAGAAAGAGGAAGUAAGGUAAUUACUAGGUUUCCUCUCUCUUCUUCCUUACACUUCUGCCUUUAAGCCUCAACACUCUCUCCCCACACCUUCUAUAUCAUGGCAGACUGCAUCCUUAAACUGUGAACCAAAAUAAACCUCUUUGUUAUUAACUAAUCUUUUUAUUUAUUUUUAUUAAUGAAUUAAGUGCUUCUUCCUGUAUUAGCCAGGGUUCUCUAGAGGAAUAAGAAUGAUAGAACUAAACCUCUAUACACUAAAAGAGAAUUUAUUAGAGUAGCUUGCAAGCCCUCGAACAGUUAAUCCAACAGUGGCUAUCUCCCGAUGGAAAGGCCAAGAAUUCAAUAGCUGUUGAGUCCACAAGGCCAGAUGUCUCAGCUGGUCUUCAGGACACACUGGAAUCCUGAGGAAGUGGGUUCUAAUGACCAUCAAGGAAUGCCUUGGCGGCAGGAUAGAUGAAUUCAACAUCAAGAGUGAGGACAAGAAAGCAAAAAGCAAAGGCUUUUUCUUCCAUGUUCUUUUAGGUAGGCUGCCACCAGAAGGUGAGAUGUAGGUUUUGGGUAGGUCUUCAGACAUCAAAUGAUCCAAUUGCAGUGUGCCCUGCUGCUUGGGUUUUCAUUAAUUCCAGAUGUGGUUAAGUUGACAACCAAGAUUAGACACCACAUUUUCUUAUGUUGAUUUCAUUUUUUUUGUCCCAGUUCAAGGAAGUUAGCUAGCAAAACUGGUCAUUUAAAUCACAACAUAGUUAAUUAACAGAGAAAAAUAUAUGUUCUCAUUUACAUGGUCACCAAAACACAAACAAGAAGCCAUAUAAACAAACACUGAGAGUCAUCCAAGAUAUUGUUUAAAAGGUUCUAGUGAUGAAUUCCAAGGAGCUUGAAGUUUGAAGAAAAUAUAUUUGGAGAGUCUGGGGUGGUUUCACUUGCUGGCUUGUUUUAUUGUUCAUUGUUUUAUGGUCU